CGGCGCAUAAGCGCCGACGCGCAGUCGCGCUUGCCUCAGCCCGUAUCCGGGCUUCGGGGGAGCGCAUAAGGCACGCAUAAGGCAAGGGUNCGGAGCACCCGCCCGCCGUCUGAGGGAAAAUAUAAGGGCUCACCUUCGGUGAGCCCGUGACCGCGUACCUUUUGUAUAAUGGGUCAGCGACUUAAUUUACGUAGCGAGCUUAAGCCGAUAGGUGUAGGCGCAGCGAAAGCGAGUCUGAAUAGGGCGUUUCAGUUACGUGGAUUAGACCCGAAACCGGGUGAUCUAGCCAUGGGCAGGUUGAAGGCAGGGUAAGACCUGCUGGAGGACCGAACCCACCUAUGUUGAAAAAUGGGGGGAUGACCUGUGGCUAGGGGUGAAAGGCCAAUCAAACCCGGAAAUAGCUGGUUCUCCGCGAAAACUAUUUAGGUAGUGCGUUAUGUGUUUACCGUCGGGGGUAGAGCACUGGAUGGGCUAGGGGGGCGCGAGCCUUACCAAACCUAACCAAACUCCGAAUACCGGCGAGUAUUGCAUGGCAGACAGACGGCGGGCGCUAAGGUCCGUCGUCGAGAGGGAAACAGCCCUGACCGCCAGCUAAGGUCCCUAAGUUGUGGCUAAGUGGGAAAGGAUGUGGGAAGGCCAAGACAGCCAGGAGGUUGGCUUAGAAGCAGCCAUCCUUGAAAGAAAGCGUAACAGCUCACUGGUCUAGAUAUUAAGCCGUCCCGCGCCGAAGAUGUAACGGGGCUCAAGCCACACACCGAAGCUGCGGACUUCAGUUUACUGAAGUGGUAGCGGAGCGUUCUGUAAGCCUGCGAAGGUGUGCCGUGAGGCAUGCUGGAGGUAUCAGAAGUGAGAAUGCUGACAUGAGUAGCGACAAGGAGUGUGAGAAACACUCCCGCCGAAAAUCCAAGGGUUCCUGUGCAAGGCUAAUCCGCGCAGGGUGAGUCGGCCCCUAAGGCGAGGGCGAAAGCCGUAGUCGAUGGGAAUCAGGUUAAUAUUCCUGAACCUGUAGGUAGUGACGGAUACUGUAAGUUGUACACACUCUAUUGGACAUGUGUGUGUGCCGCGAAGGUGUCCCAGGAAAUAACUCCUACAUUAAGACCGUACCCCAAACCGACACAGGUGGAUAGGUAGAGAAUACCAAGGCGCUUGAGAGAACGAUGUUGAAGGAACUCGGCAAAAUGCACCCGUAACUUCGGGAUAAGGGUGACCUGUAUCUAGGCAACUGGAUAUGGGUGGCACAAAAUUGGGGGUGGCGACUGUUUACUAAAAACAUAGGGCUCUGCGAAGUCGCAAGACGACGUAUAGGGUCUGACGCCUGCCCGGUGCUGGAAGGUUAAGGAGAGGGGUGCAAGCUCUGAACCGAAGCCCCAGUAAACGGCGGCCGUAACUAUAACGGUCCUAAGGUAGCGAAAUUCCUUGUCGGGUAAGUUCCGACCUGCACGAAUGGCGUAACGACUUCCCCGCUGUCUCCAACAUCGACUCAGCGAAAUUGAAUUCUCCGUGAAGAUGCGGAGUACCCGCGGUUAGACGGAAAGACCCGGUGCACCUUUACUAUAGCUUUGCAGUGGUAUUAGGGGACGAAUGUGUAGGAUAGGUGGGAGGCUGUGAAACCGUGGCGCCAGUUGCGGUGGAGCCACCCUUGAAAUACCACCCUUUUCUUCUCUGAUAUCUAACCGUGGCCCGUUAAUCCGGGUCCGGGACCCUGCAUGGUGGGUAGUUUGGCUGGGGCGGUCGCCUCCCAAAGAGUAACGGAGGCGCGCGAUGGUGGGCUCAAGCUGGUCGGAAAUCAGCUGCUGAGUGUAAUGGCACAAGCCUGCCUGACUGCGAGAGCGACAGCUCGAGCAGAGACGAAAGUCGGCCAUAGUGAUCCGGUGGUUCCGUGUGGAAGGGCCAUCGCUCAACGGAUAAAAGGUACGCCGGGGAUAACAGGCUUAUACCCCCCAAGAGUUCACAUCGACGGGGGUGUUUGGCACCUCGAUGUCGGCUCAUCACAUCCUGGGGCUGGAGCAGGUCCCAAGGGUUCGGCUGUUCGCCGAUUAAAGUGGUACGUGAGCUGGGUUUAGAACGUCGUGAGACAGUUCGGUCCCUAUCUGCCGUGGGUGUAGGAGAAUUGAGAGGAGCUGCCCCUAGUACGAGAGGACCGGGGUGGACGCACCUCUGGUGUACCAGUUGUCGCGCCAGCGGCACCGCUGGGUAGCUAAGUGCGGACGGGAUAACCGCUGAAAGCAUCUAAGCGGGAAGCCUCCCUCGAAACGAGUUCUCCCUUGAGAGCCGUGGGAGACCACCACGUUGAUAGGCCGGGUGUGGAAGCGCAGCAAUGCGUGGAGCUAACCGGUACUAAUCGCUCGAUAGGCUUGAGAUG
rnacentral:rRNA from 1 species